AACAGAGCUUCUUCACGUGUAAUCAGGAUUUUUUUUUACAUUUUAUUUCAGGAGCUGGAGCAGAUACAAGCGUUGAAUGGAAUUCUGGAGGCGUAUCUGGAUUGGAAACUUCACAAACCUUUAUUCUGGUGCUGGAUGGACAGCGUGAUCGACAGCUCCCUCGUUGAUGCGUCCGAGGUCGAUCCUGCCGAUUGGCCACCAGGGGAUCGGGCUGUCACGGUGAGGUGUCCCCACGGAGACGAGACCAGGAGAGCAGUCAGACGACUUGACAAGAUGUUGCUAAGGCUGCAGACAGAACUGAGAGCCAGAAGAAUAGAGCAGUCCACUCUCACACUCACCUCACAGCAUCCACAGCCCACAAAGCCACCUCACAGGUUCCACACCAGAGAACCUGGCCUGGAAGUGACAGCUGGGAAGCUCCAGGCAUCGACAGCUCUGGACGAGCUGAGGGAGAGGGAGGCUGUACUGCAGUGGCAGCUGGAACGAUUGAGGCAAAGUAUGAGAGUGGAAAUGCAGAGACAGGCCAGCACAAUGGAGCGGAUGGUUCUCAUCCCACCAAUUAAGAGAUAAACACACUUUUUGUGUCACUGUAUGCACUGGGAUCUGGACAGUCUGCAUUUUGAGUCCCUAAAUAAAGUGAACAUAUUCGUGUUUUGGUUUUUCGCCUUUUCUGUGGAAUUAAAACUCAAACUUAUGAACGUUCUGCAUUAGAGAAUGUUUUGUAAUCAAUUUUUAUGUAUUUAAAAAUGACUGCCGCUGUGUCAAUGUCUGUGUGCAUGGAAAAUAAAGAAACUUCAAGGCCAUUUUGUCUGUACUUGGAUACUUACACUGAAAAAAUAUUAUUUUGACUACUGAAAUGCAUCAAGC
rnacentral:lncRNA from 1 species